rnacentral:rRNA from 1 species
GGGUUAGUAGGUUGGUCAUGCCUCUGGUAUGUACUGAUCUCACUGAUUCCUCCUUCCUGAUGAGCCGUAAUGCCAUUAAUUUGGUGUUGCGGGGAAUUUGGACUGUUACUUUGAAGAAAUUAGAGUGCUCAAAGCAAGCCCAAGCUCUGGAUAUAUUAGCAUGGGAUAACAUCAUAGGAUUUCGGUCCUAUCGUGUUGGCCUUCGGGAUCGGAGUA